rnacentral:rRNA from 1 species
GUUUGUAACCUACCCUUAACUGGAAGAUAGCCCCCGGAAACGGGGAUUAAUAUUCCAUGAUAUUUCAAAGAGGCAUCUCUUUGUUCUUAAAGCUCCGGCGGUUAAGGAUGGGCAUGCGUGACAUUAGUUAGUUGGUGAGGCAACGGCUUACCAAGACUACGAUGUCUAGGGGGUCUGAGAGGAUGAUCCCCCACACUGGUACUGAGACACGGACCAGACUCCUACGGGAGGCAGCAGUGAGGAAUAUUGGUCAAUGGACGCAAGUCUGAACCAGCCAUGCCGCGUGCAGGAUGACGGCCCUAUGGGUUGUAAACUGCUUUUAUACAGGAAGAAACCCCCCGACGUGUCGGGGGCUGACGGUACUGUAAGAAUAAGCAUCGGCUAACUCCGUGCCAGCAGCCGCGGUAAUACGGAGGAUGCAAGCGUUAUCCGGAUUUAUUGGGUUUAAAGGGUGCGCAGGCGGGGCAGUAAGUCAGUGGUGAAAUCCUGCGGCUUAACCGUAGAAUUGCCAUUGAUACUGUUGUCCUUGAGUGUAGUUGAGGUAGGCGGAAUAUGUAAUGUAGCGGUGAAAUGCAUAGAUAUUACAUAGAACACCAAUUGCGAAGGCAGCUUACUAAACUAUUACUGACGCUGAGGCACGAAAGCGUGGGGAGCAAACAGGAUUAGAUACCCUGGUAGUCCACGCUGUAAACGAUGAUCACUCGUUGUUGGCAAUACACCGUCAGCGACUGAGCGGAAGCAUUAAGUGAUCCACCUGGGGAGUACGGUCGCAAGAUUGAAACUCAAAGGAAUUGACGGGGGCCCGCACAAGCGGAGGAACAUGUGGUUUAAUUCGAUGAUACGCGAGGAACCUUACCUGGGCUUAAAUGCAAAGCGACGCCCCGGGAAACCGGGGUUCCCUUCGGGGCGAAUUGCAAGGUGCUGCAUGGCUGUCGUCAGCUCGUGCCGUGAGGUGUCGGGUUAAGUCCCAUAACGAGCGCAACCCCUAUGGUUAGUUGCCAGUGGGUAAUGCCGGGGAGUGUAACGAAGUUGCCAGUGUAAACUGGGAGGAAGGUGGGGAUGAUGUCAAGUCAGCACGUCCUUUAUGUCCAGGGGUACACUCGUGUUACAAUGG